CAGAACUGGGUUACAGGGGAAAGAAGAGUACAGUUGCUCAAUCCAGACAAAUUGGAGGAGUAUCUGGGACCAAAGUAGUGCUGCAUGCAACUGAGAAAGGUGAACAAAAAGGACAGAGUGCUAAUCCAGUCCGCUGUCCAUAGAGAAGACUUGAAGUCACCUGUCGAUUUGCCCUUCUUUCGUGUGAUUCUGUGGUGUUGACGUGAAGAUACGCACGGUUCUGCAGACGACACCCUAAAAAACAUGGAUUGCCUCCUUGGUGUGGUAUAUCUGCUGCAGGAAGUGAUCCAGUCUCAUCUACAAGUUGUCAUCAGAAUCUGUCUGACAGCAUUUAGCUGCAGUCUUGACUUUCUUGUGUCAGGUGGGGGUGUUUCCUACAUCAAAGUGGAAGUAAGAAUGCUGCCCACAACUCACAGACAAAUUGAGGGGCUCAGAACACACACAAAGUUAAGCUUAAAUUUGUUGCUUUAUCUUCACAUAUUACACUUUGCAGCUCCCAAGGGUCUUCAUGGAAUCCAGUCAAAUAUUAGGUAUAGUACAGAGAGGCAGUCUCUUACUCCUUUCAACUCCAAUGGCACUUUAUUCUUGGGGAGCGGGUAUUAUUUUAAUAUUGGGUUUUGUUGCAAAUUUAAUCACUCUUAGCUUCUAAACAGCCAAGUUUGAAGGCAACGCUUAAUUAUGAGGAGCUGAUUACCAGUCAGGGCAAAGACAUAACAGAAUUUGAAAACAGAAUCUUGAAAGACUAGAAAAAUGGUCUGGAAACAAAACAAGACUCAACCUGGAAAAAUAAGUAAACUUAUGCCUUUGGGUACAAUCAUCCGAAACACACAACAGCAAUGGGAAGGAGUAAAGAGAUGAGCAACAAAAGUGGUUAAGGGGUUGAUUUACAAGGUGAGAGGAAAACAAUUAAAUAGUAUGUCCAAUUUGGCUAAGAAACUGCUAGAGGAAGGGAAGACGUAAGAGUCUACAAAUAUUUGAAGGGCGUAUACAUCAAAGAGAGAACAGGAUUAUUUAGCAUAUUCAAAAGAGUAAGUAAUGCACAAAGUAAAUAACAAGUAGGAGUAAUGGUAUGACAUUUUAUAAGUGGAAACUUAGGCAGAAGAGCAGGAAAAACUUCCUGACAGAGAUGUAUUAGCCUCUGGAAUCAUCCCCCAAAGGAAGUCCUGGAAGCCUCAUCACUUGGCAGAUAUAAGCUGGACUGGAUAAAACGGCAAGUACUGGAAGGGCCUGAUCCAAAACCACUGAAGUCAAUGGAAAGUCUCCCACUGAGUUCUGUGGGGUUUGGAUCAGACCCUAAAUAUCAAGCAGGGAACAAUCCUGCAAUGGAGAGGAGAUGAACUAUCAGUAGGUGACUUUACAAAAGGGAUCCAGGGUGGUAGUAGCCGCUGCCUGCACCAAAUAAAAAGGAAAACAAGUGCAAAAUUAAGAACAAAAUAAGGAAUCCUGCUGCUUUAAGGCAACACCGCUGUCUGUGAAGAGCUGCUCUGCUUGGGCCAACAGAGAAAGAGAGAGAGAGAGAGUCAGGAGGGUUGAGGUUUUCAUUAGCCCCUGGGAGAAUCAUGGGAGAAUCAAUUGCCAAACAAAGACAACUUCACUUUACCCAGGGCAGGACAUGUGUGGGUGAGGGUGAGAGAGAGAGAGAGAGAGAGAGAGAGAGAAUGUGUGUGAGAGAGAAUGUGCACUGUAUUUUUAAAUGUGCAAGAAGCCAAGCUGGAGGGAGCUGGAGAAGGCUGGAGCCAAGCAGAGGGCAAGGAAGAAUAGCUACACAGCUAAUACAGUUUUCCUUAUUCUAAUAAAGUUCCUUGUUCAGUUUUAGAAGUAACCAACUCUUUGUGAUUUUUGUUCACCAUAAAAAUGGACAGUGCACUGCUUCCUUCCCGAGAGCUCCUUAAUCUACCAGCCCUAUUAAUACCCUUUCUUGGGCUGAGCAGCCAUCUCUGGGAUGAGACAGACCUCCUGCCUGGUUUUCAUUGCAUGCAAUUAACCCCCUCCCUGCCUUUCUGUGUGGGGUACAUACACUCCAUCACCACUGUUGAAUAGGGAUAUUCUGUCUCCAGAUUCUAUGGGCCAAAAUCUGUUAUCAGCUGCACCGGUGUAAAUCUGGAAUCGCUCCACUGACUUCAGAGGAAUAACUGCAUUCACACUGUAUAAGAGAGCUGAAUUUGGGUCUAUGAUUCUGUAAAACUUUCCUCUCUGGCAAAUAAAUAUUUAAAUUAUAUUUGUAAUUAAAAAAUAAUUAUCAGUUGAAA